rnacentral:rRNA from 1 species
GAUGAACGCUAGCGAUAGGCUUAACACAUGCAAGUCGAGGGGCAGCACAAGGUAGCUUGCUAUCUGGGUGGCGACCGGCGCACGGGUGCGUAACGCGUAUGCAACUUGCCCUAUACAGGAGGAUAACCCGUCGAAAGACGGACUAAUACUGCGUAUGCUCACAACUUGGCAUCAAGUGGUGAGGAAAGAAAUUCGGUAUAGGAUAGGCAUGCGUCCCAUUAGCUUGUUGGUGAGGUAACGGCUCACCAAGGCAACGAUGGGUAGGGGAACUGAGAGGUUUAUCCCCCACACUGGUACUGAGACACGGACCAGACUCCUACGGGAGGCAGCAGUGAGGAAUAUUGGGCAAUGGGCGCGGGCCUGAACCAGCCAAGUCGCGUGAAGGAUGACUGUCCUAUGGAUUGUAAACUUCUUUUAUACGGGAAUAACAGGAGUCACGUGUGACUCCCUGCAUGUACCGUAUGAAUAAGCAUCGGCUAACUCCGUG